CUCCUACGGGAGGCAGCAGUCGAGAAUUUUUCUCAAUGGGGGAAACCCUGAAGGAGCGACGCCGCGUGGAGGAUGAAGGUCUUCGGGUUGUAAACUCCUGUCAUUUGGGAACAAUGCGCAAAUAUUAACUGUAUUUGCGUUGAUAGUACCAGAAGAGGAAGAGACGGCUAACUCUGUGCCAGCAGCCGCGGUAAUACAGAGGUCUCAAGCGUUGUUCGGAUUCAUUGGGCGUAAAGGGUGCGUAGGCGGCGCGGUAAGUCGGGUGUGAAAUCUCGGGGCUUAACUCCGAAACUGCAUUCGAUACUACCGUGCUUGAGGACUGGAGAGGAGACUGGAAUUUACGGUGUAGCGGUGAAAUGCGUAGAUAUCGUAAGGAAGACCAGUGGCGAAGGCGGGUCUCUGGACAGUUCCUGACGCUGAGGCACGAAGGCCAGGGGAGCAAACGGGAUUAGAUACCCCGGUAGUCCUGGCAGUAAACGGUGCACGUUUGGUGUGGGAGGAUUCGACCCCUUCUGCGCCGGAGCUAACGCGUUAAACGUGCCGCCUGGGGAGUACGGUCGCAAGAUUAAAACUCAAAGAAAUUGACGGGGGCCCGCACAAGCGGUGGAGUAUGUGGCUCAAUUCGAUGCAACGCGAAGAACCUUACCUGGCCUUGACAUGCAUCUCUAAGUUGGUGA
rnacentral:rRNA from 1 species